rnacentral:tRNA from 2 species
GCAGUCAUGGCCGAGUGGUUAAAGCGAUGGACUAGAAAUCCAUUGGGGUCUCCCCGCACAGGUUCGAAUCCUGUUGACUGCG